UACCAGAUGUGAUGGCUCCCUUGGUUGCUGGAUCCUGGAGGCUGGAGGUAGACCAAGCAGAGUUCUCCAGAGAACACUGCUGGACUGUGCUUUACCUUUCCCAGAUCCUAUAACCUAUCCCUUCAAUUGUAAGUUACUCCACAAAAUAAACCUCC